rnacentral:rRNA from 1 species
AUGGCAGUUCCAAAAAAACGUACUUCAAUGUCAAAAAAGCGUAUUCGUAAAAAUAUUUGGAAGAAAAAGACUUAUUUUUCCAUAGUACAAUCUUAUUCUUUAGUAAAAUCAAGAUCAUUUUCGAGCGGUAAUGAGCAUCCAAAACCAAAGGGUUUUUCUGGGCAACAAACAAAUAAUAAGAUUUUGGAAUAA